UGCGCAGGCGGAUUUGUAAGUCAGUGGUGAAAUCCCCCGGCUCAACCGGGGAACUGCCAUUGAUACUGCUAAUCUAGAGUACAGUUGAAGUAGGCGGAAUGUAGCAUGUAGCGGUGAAAUGCAUAGAGAUGCUACAGAACACCGAUUGCGAAGGCAGCUUACUAAGCUGUAACUGACGCUCAGGCACGAAAGCGUGGGGAGCAAACAGGAUUAGAUACCCUGGUAGUC
rnacentral:rRNA from 1 species